rnacentral:misc_RNA from 1 species
GAUGAAGAACGCAGCGAAAUGCGAUAAGUAAUGUGAAUUGCAGAAUUCAGUGAAUCAUCGAAUCUUUGAACGCACAUUGCGCCCGCCAGUAUUCUGGCGGGCAUGCCUGUUCGAGCGUCAUUUCAACCAUCAAGCCCCCGGCUUGUGUUGGGGACCUGCGGCUGCCGCAGGCCCUGAAAAGCAGUGGCGGGCUCGCUGUCACACCGAGCGUAGUAGCAUACAUCUCGCUCUGGGCGUGCUGCGGGUUCCGGCCGUUAAACCACCUUCAUAACCCAAGGUUGACCUCGGAUCAGGUAGGAGACCCGCUGAACUUAAGCAUAUCAAUAAGCGGAGGA